CUUCAAUUAUGAUGCAUGUAGAGGCAUUUUAACCUCAAUUUGAACAAAGUAGGGUUACAUUCACCAUCUUACAGCUGAAUUUAGA
rnacentral:sRNA from 1 species